GUUCCUACGGGUGGCAGCAGUAGGGAAUUUUCGGCAAUGGGCGCAAGCCUGACCGAGCAACGCCGCGUGAGUGAAGAAGGCCUUCGGGUUGUAAAGCUCUGUUGUAAGGGAAGAACACUUAAAAGAGGGAAUGCUUUUAAGCUGACGGUACCUUACCAGAAAGCCACGGCUAACUACGUGCCAGCAGCCGCGGUAAUACGUAGGUGGCGAGCGUUAUCCGGAAUUAUUGGGCGUAAAGGGUGCGUAGGCGGUUUAUUAUGGCUGUGGUAAAAGUGCGGGGCUCAAACCGGAAUAGCCAUGGAAACUGGUGAACUAGAGUGCAGGAGAGGGCAGUGGAAUUCCAUGUGUAGCGGUAAAAUGCGUAGAUAUAUGGAGGAACACCGGUGGCGAAGGCGGCUGCCUGGCCUGUAACUGACGCUGAGGCACGAAAGCGUGGGGAGCAAAUAGGAUUAGAUACCCUGGUAGUC
rnacentral:rRNA from 1 species